rnacentral:rRNA from 1 species
GAUGAACGCUAGCGGCAGGCCUAACACAUGCAAGUCGAGGGGUAGAACACUUCGGUGUUUGAGACCGGCGCACGGGUGCGUAACGCGUAUGCAAUCUACCUUAUACAGGGGAAUAGCCCAGAGAAAUUUGGAUUAAUGCCCCAUAGCAUUACGACUUGGCAUCAAGAUGUAAUUAAAGUUCCAACGAUAUAAGAUUAGCAUGCGUCCCAUUAGUUAGUUGGUAAGGUAACGGCUUACCAAGACGAUGAUGGGUAGGGGUCCUGAGAGGGAGAUCCCCCACACUGGUACUGAGACACGGACCAGACUCCUACGGGAGGCAGCAGUGAGGAAUAUUGGUCAAUGGUCGCAAGACUGAACCAGCCAUGCCGCGUGCAGGAAGACGGCCCUAUGGAUUGUAAACUGCUUUUAUACAGGAAGAAACCCUCCCACGUGUGGGAGCUUGACGGUACUGUAGGAGUAAGGAUCGGCUAACUCCGUGCCAGCCGCCGCGGUAA